ACGGCGCUGCUCCGCAGUCGUAGUCCGGAGCCGAGAGCGAGAGACUGCCGGAGCGCGCCGUUAGUCGCCUCCAGUACGUCCGCGACGCGCGAUCACCCUCGCCGAUCUCCACUCUGCGAUAGAGCUCUGAGCGCGCGCGCGCCACUCACUCUCCGCCUCUUUCUCUUCCCCUCUUCUCCCCCUUUCGAGCCCGUCCUCCGUUCUUCAGCCCCCGACGUUUCCGCGUUCGACUCGGAGUUUCUCGCUGCUCGAGGAAAGAAGCUGCCGGGAAGCAACUGUAUGCGAGCAACGGAGCAAGAAGGCCAGUGCUCGCACCUAGCCGCCGAGCGACGUCACUAGUGCAGGAUCGACGAGGCCCGACGAGUGUGCGAAAGAAGCUCCUCCAAGACGAAAGAAAGAGGGAGAACGAACCGACGAACCGACGAAUCGAAAGCGAAAUAUAGCGAUAGGCUCGCCUAUAGUCUCGAUCUCGGGGUAAUGCUCGGGCUGUUAUGAGCGUGGCCGCCGCUUAGAGGAUGCCGGAGCUCGAGCGCACGGAGUCUCCGAGGUCGGGGCAGCUCCUCGAGGACUUGGAGCUGCUGGACAAGCUGGAGUCGGGGCCGAGUAGGCAGCGCAACGGCGCCGAGCGCAGUGUCUCCUUCAAUCGGGACGUCCACGUCAAGAGGAUCGGACGUGGUGCGCCGCACGUGAGCACGGCCCUCGUCGGCGAUGGCGAGAACAGGUUCGUGACGACGCCGGUGCGCAAGGAGAGCAUCAAGGCUCGCAGCAAGGAGGACCUCGCGCAGGAGGCGGCCCUCGUCCUCCAGCAGGCAGACAGCCUCGACUGCUUCGCCCGCGACCCGAACGACCCGCGCAAGUACAGCACGCUGCCGACGCCCCGCGGCAGGAGGUCCAAGGAGCCAGCCACAGCGUCCCCUGCGGCCAGCGGCCCGGCCCGGCGCCGGCGCAGCGAGGAGUUGGGCGCGACCCAGCAGAGCCCGCUGCCGCAGCCCCUCGACGACAGCCCCACCAGGCCCAAGAAGAAGGCCCUGGAGCGCAGCGCCAGCGAUGCGGGCGCGGGCAAAAUCAGGCAGACUAUCACCAAGCUCUUCUCGCCCAAGCUAGAGCGCAAGCGCUACGUGAGCCGCAGCCGGAGCGACGCCGGUGCGGCCGCCGGCAGCUCGGCGCACCGCAAGCGCAGCGGCAGCGACAGCGAGAGCUCGCACACGGGCCGCGCGCGGAAGCCGCUCUCGCCCAUCAUCGAGGCCUCGCCGCAGGUGCUCGACCCGCAACAGCAGCCGCAGCCGUUCCACUUCGAGCCGAAGAAGUCGCGGCAGGAGGAGCUCGCGCGCAGCGUGCCGAUCCGGCUGGAGGAGCGGCCGGCCAGCGCGGCGGGCGUCGACGAGGUCGACCGGGUCGACGCGAGCAUGUUGCACAGCAGCAGGUAUGAGCAGCGCGGCGAGGAAUCGACCAUCCACAAGAUGAUCCACCGGCUCUCGAGCGACCGCUCGCCGCCGCCCCAGCUGACCAGGACGAUGGUCUCGCCGGGGCCGGGCUUCGGGCACAACAACAACCGGCCGUUCUCCUACACGCGGCCCAACAACGACUCGAGCCCGCCGCCGGUGCCGCAGGCCCUCGGCCAGGCCGACGCCAUCUACGCGCAGGUGCAGCUCGACAAGAAGAAGGCGGCCCAGCGCAGCCACUCGGACAGCGACGAGGGCCUCGGGCUCGAGCGCAAGGACUCCUCGAGGGAAAACAGCCCGGCCGAGAAGGAGAACCGCAGGACGGACUACUACAACAACCAGCUCAACGACUUCAAGUCGGCGGCCGCGACGACGCGUUUCGGGGACUUUGGCGCCGACAAGCCCGCCGGCGGCGGCAAGUACACCUCGACCGUCUUUGUGGACACGUCGAGCGGCCGCGGCCGGGCCGACGGCAGGGACAGCGCCGGCCACGAGUUCGCGAGCAAGACCUCGGAGCUGAGCGCGCGGCGGGACCUGCUCGAGUCGAGGAUCAAGUCGCGGCUGCUGGCCGACGAGAUGUUCGCCGCGAAGAAGACGUCGCUCGAGCACGAGAUCAUCGACAAGCCGAUCGUGCCGUCGCCGGUGGUGCCGAGCCGUGCGGCCGGCUCGCCCAAGCGCUACAACAUGGAGACCUACAUCAGCGAGACGCGGACCAACAGCAACGGCGAGAAGUACAUCUUCGAGAAGGAGAUCCACGACGAGAACGGCAAGGUCUACGGCUACGAGAAGAAGAUCACCAACAAGAUCCCGGCCGAGGGCUACCCCGCGAGCGAGCUGGCCAAGCCGCGCGAGGGCUACAGCCUCGAGACGCGCACCGACAAGUACGGCGACAAGUACAUCGUCGAGACCCGCACGCACGGCGGCUACUGCUCCGACGAGCCGCUCAAGCUGCCCGACGGGCCCUUCCGCCGGCCGGCCAAGCUGCGCUGCGACUUGGAGUACGAGCCCGCGCCGCCCUCGCCGCCCUCGGGCUUCCGGGGCUUCGAGGCCGCGCGCGGUAAGAGCAAGUCAACGCAGCGGCUCGACGGGCUCACCGAGCGGGCCCGGCUGCACGUGACGCGCUCGCACGAGAACCUCAGCUCGGCGGACUACGUGAACGCACGCGAGCUGCGCAAGUCGCCGCUCGCCAAGCGCCGGCUGGCCGAGCUGCGCGAGGGCCCGAACGACGACUACGACACGGACAUCUCGCAGGCGACCAACAGCCAGCUGGAGAGCUCCUCGGCGGCCAAGUACUACAAGGAGACGCGCACGAGCCAGUCGAGCAGGUACCUCUCGAGCAAGGCCCGCGCGGCCGACGAGUACGACAGCUCGCCGCCGCGCGUCCGCCUCGUGCGCAGCAACGGCUACAGCUCGAGCCGCUACGACUCGGACACGACGGCCGGCCGCGAGUCCUCGCUCCAGGGCUACCGUAGGGAGCAGCUGCGCCACCAGCAGCGCAUCUUCGAGGAGGACCCGAAGAAGCCGAUGCGCCGCUCGCGCAACCGGCUCGACUACCCCGACGACAGCGACGCCUCGCGCAGCAAGUCGAGCAAGGGCCGGCUCGAGACGUUCGAGGAGGCGCCGCCCCAGCGGCCGCCGCGGGCCCACCACCACCACCACCAUCACGAGGCCAAGCUGCGGCACGCACGGCACCGCGAGACCCGCGUCGGCGGCGACCCGGACCGCGGCAAGGACCGGCUGGCCGACUCGGGCAUCGAGAACGACUACCGGCGCGAUCCGCACGAGCAGGACAGCGCCGGGCGGCGCGAGCCCCUCGAGUCCGAGGACGAGGGCUUCGUCACGAUGCAGUUCAUCAGGCAGGAGCGCCGGCACACCGACCGCAACAUGAACCUCGGCCAGGCAGACAAGCGCCGCUACGACAAGUACGUCGUCCACUACAACGAGGCGGGCGGCAAGCAGCCGCUGACGGCCAAGCCGCCCUCAGGCGUCGACGCCAAGAAGUACGAGAAGAAGGCGGCCAAGAAGAGCGGCACCAUGAGCAAGGUCAAGGAGCUCUUCCGCAAGAAGGAGAAGAAAGCCAAGGAGGAGAAGAGCAAGCGGGCUCUGCGGCCCGCCGGCAGCGGCGCCCUUACCGACGACGAGGUCAGCAUGAGGUACCGGGAGUACCGCGGCGACCAGCUCAGGACGGCCAGGAGCGCCAGGGACCUCGAGAGCGAGAUCAACGAGGAUGAGUACAGACAGCGCAGGCGCUUGUCGACACCGAGCGGAAGCCCAAGUCCGCCCCGGCCCUCGAGACUGUCACGCUCGACCGGAACUCUCACGCGACCGGAACAGCAGUUUCGCGAGCACAAGAGCAGCAGCCGAGAAAGCAACCACCACCAGGGUCAAGAGGCCGAGCGGAAAGGAUGGUUCAAGUCCCUCUCUCGCAAGACCAAGUCCAGCGCCAAACCCGUGGAUAAGAAGCCGAGGAUACCCGAGAGCGAGAUUUUAACGACCGGCACGGAAGACGAGGAAGCUUCUUCGGCGCCCGAGCGAGCGUCAGUGCAGAAGAAUCUUCGUUUCUUCGGAGACACCGAUCAGGAGUCGAUCUCGUCAAACCGUGACCGCAGGAACAAGCGAGGAGACGACCACGCCAAGGUGAGGCGUGAGAUAGCGAGCUCGGGCCGUCACCCCAUGGGAAUCGUGCUGCCGCCGAGGAAGCCCUCGAGGCUCGCCGAGAGCGCCCUGUCCUCCGGCGAAAGUACAACGGGCGACAGCAGCCAGCAGAGCCAGAAUUCCCAGAGGUCCCAGAGAUCCGUCGUCUACUUGCACGCAGCGACAGUUGGCGAGAUCCCGGGACCGAACGAGCGACGGCGCGCGGCCUCGCGCGAGGAGCUCAGCCGGCCGCUGGCGGCGCACACGCGCACGGUCUCGCGCAGCGUGAGCGUCUUGGCGCCCUGGAGGCCGCGGAACUACCGCGAGCCCUACGAGAUCAACUACGACCAGCAGCAGCACGUCAACGGCGGCAAGCCCGCAACGACCAUGAGGCGCAGGCAACGCAGCCGCGAGACCCUCAGCCGUCGAGCUAAGGAGAUGCCCAGGCGCGGCAAGGAUGCCAACUCCAAGACAGUUUGAUGCGAUCUAGUCCGACGGUCUUACCACGUUUGACCCUUACUACUUAUAACACGCACAAUUAAUCGCAGCACUCUAAAGUCAAAAGACAAGCAGAAGGUGGAUAGGACCGUCUCCACGGAGUCGUUGGCCAGCAAGUCCCGGAACGUGAGUUCCCGGCCAGAACUGAGCAGAUCCACAUCCGUCCCACGUGACCCAAACAAGAGCGCGGGAUGGUUUAAGCUGAAGAGCAAGAAGUCCCGGGCCUAAGCGAGAGGCCAUUGACCAAUGCUAGUCUUGAGUUUUCAUAAGAAGUUAUCUUUUAACAUUAAGCAGUUAAUUAAUGAUUAACGUGUAUCGACGCGCCGUCAUCGAUGUUUUUUCUCUCCCUUUUCUCUAACCGCGAGAAGUAAUAAUUCCACGUCGCUAACGCCGCAACGUUACAAACACUUCUUUUAAUCUUUUUGUUCGUUUUAUCAUUUACUAAUCGGUCGAUGCGCAUAAGUGAAACAUUCCAGCGACACUGUAACGAACGUCACACGCUUCAAAUGACAAAUUAAAGCUAUAUUUUAUGUUUGCCUUAAUCAACAAUAACAUUCAAAAACAUACGCAUUUCGAAUCAAAUUUAACGGCUAUAGGGACAAUAAAAAGAGCGAGUCGCAGCUCUCUUUCGCCGCGUCAACCUAAUAUAUACAUAUAACAUGGAUAAAUCACGAGAACAAGCCAUUUUUGAAUUUAAAAUCAUCGGCUAGAAGAAGAAAUUUUCACCAAACCAUCCAUCACGUAACCUUCUCUCUACCAAAUUUACUCGGUUAAAUUUCUGGCGAUAGAUGAGAAUGCGUUCAUUACGUCGGUAUGGCUCUGUACGGCGAACGAGCACAUGACAAGUACAGCUCGUUCUCGUCCGGCGAGGAUCUAGGUGGUACUUAAUCGUUGAAUCUGGAACAAAAAGAAAGAAAAGAAUUUCCUUUAGCGUCUGACUUUUGUUACUUUACCGUGAAUUAGCGUGCCAUUUCUGUAUUCUGAUAUCGUUUUUGUUUAACGCUGUUGCUGUUUUCAAAAGAGAUCAAAAUUAUACGAAAACCCUCAAUAUUCUGUACUUGUUAUAGAAAGCAAGGCAAUAAAUAAUAAUAUGCAGCCCAAGCGAACGAAUUUUCUACUGUUAAUAUCAAUCGACUUGAUUACAACCUAAAGUACUUAUAUAUUUGUAGUCCUUCGCUCGAAUCUAUCGUUGUAAAUAGUUGUACUAAUUGUGUCCUAUAUUGAGCUCUUCUUUAUACAAUCUCUCGCUUGAUUUUAAAAUUAUUAUGUCAUCCGUGCAGUGUUUAAUACAGUUAUAACCGUGUUGUCAUUUCCCAGAUCAUUAUAUACUGUUUUCCUUACAUUUGGAAUUAAAUUUGAAUGUAUCCUACACGAGCUCUUGAACCUCAUAUUAAACCAUAUGUUUUGUCGGGGAAAAAAAUACUACGAUUCGCAACACGAUUACGUGCUUACAUCGCUGCAAAACUAAUUCCUACUUGGUGCUACUAUGCGAGUAUGCGUGUGUAUAUAUACAAAUCAUGCGAUUAGUGUAAAUACCAUAAAUUUUAUGUCGCUAUAAUUAAAACCUAUUCAUAAAAUUAAAUCAUCAUUAACCUAUAGCUCUUACCUUGCUAAACAUAGGUUCAAAUUGUCCGAUUGGCGGGAUGGUGCAUAGCUCCAGAACAAGUUAUAUUUUGUAACACGAUUAAACAAUUUGAGUUAAAUAAAUAUAAUUCAAUACUAAUUAA